UGCAGGCAUGAAUGGGACAGCUAUUGAAAAUUUCAUCUGUGUUAUUUAUAAUGUUUCCUUCAUGAAUUGCACUUGGCAUGUAGGCAGGACUGUUCCAGCAGAUACCCAAUAUUUUCUGUACUGGAAGAGCUCCAGAAAAGCUCACCCCUCCUUUAAAUGUCACUGUGAACUGUACUGGAGUUUCUAAUGGUUGUGAAAUUCAGUGGCAACCACCUCGCACAAGCCAUGUUAAAAGGGAUGCUUGCUUCAAAUAUGAAAUUGUCAUAGAAAACACGGCGGAUCCUGAGAAAAGCACCAAAGAUACAUCUAAAACAAAAAACGACAUCAGAGGAAGAUCAUACAUAUUUCAAAACUUCAAUGCAGAAAAAAGAUACAUUGUCAAAAUCAGAGCAACUGACAGUGGUUGUUUAGUGAGCACAAACUGGGGGGAAUGGAGUACGCCUGUUGAGUUUGGAAGAGCACACCUUAAGUCCACUUCAGGAUAUACUCUAUUUCUGCUAUCAGUGACAACAGCAAGUCUCAUAUUUUUUCUCUGCAUAGUUCUUUUCCUCACUACCCCUUUUUGCUGCUCUAGAACUUGUUUGAAAACAACAUCUGCUCCAAUACCACAGCCGAAAGACCCAUUCCAUGAGAUCUCUCCUAUGCAUUUCCAGACAGAAUAUGAGAAUCAAUUAAUAGAGCAUGAAACUGAAGAAAUAAUAACAACGAUUGAAGAAAUGGCAUAAUGGCAUGCAAGUGCAAUGAGCAGUUUGAAUUUUUACCCACACAUAUAUUUUGUUUCUUUAUCUUGUGGGCAGAAAUAACAGUGUUACCUGUAGAGGCAGUUUCCCAAGAACCUAUCUUUAAAAACUUCUUUGUAUUUGCUUCCAUUUUCCACAAAUAAUUUGAGUUGUUUUGACUCUUGUUUCUUCUUAUGAUUACUAUUCUUGCAAUGUUUCAGAAAAAUAUUUCAGUAGUGCUUGGAAGCUAUUGCUGGACAAAUGUGCGCUGCUUUUAUACACCAUGCAAAAGAAUAAAAUAAAAACACCUGAAUUUAAGGUUCUCA
rnacentral:lncRNA from 1 species